AGAGUUUGAUCCUGGCUCAGGACCAACGCUGGCGGCGUGCGUAACACAUGCAAGUCGGACGCGCGGGGGAGACCCUGGCGCGUGGCGGACGGGUGAGGAACACGUGAGGAACCUGGCCUUGAGUGGGGGAUAACUCUCAGAAAUGGGGGCUAAUCCCGCAUACGGCUCGUGUCGGAGGGGGCACGAGAGAAAGCGGAGACGCGCUCAAGGAGGGGCUUGCGGCCGAUUAGCUAGUUGGGGGGGUAAGAGCCUCCCAAGGCGACGAUCGGUAGCUGGUCUGAGAGGACGAGCAGCCACACUGGGAUUGAGAACGGCCCAGACUCCUACGGGGGGCAGCAGUGAGGAAUCUACGGCAAUGGGGGCAACCCUGACCGAGCGACGCCGCGUGCGGGAAGACGGCCUUCGGGUUGUAAACCUCUUUCAGCAGGGACGAAGCGAAAGUGACGGUACCUGUAGAAGAAGGACCGGCCAACUACGUGCCAGCAGCCGCGGUAAUAC
rnacentral:rRNA from 1 species